rnacentral:tRNA from 3 species
CGGGGCGUAGCGCAGCUUGGUAGCGCAUCUGCUUUGGGAGCAGAGGGUCGCAGGUUCAAAUCCUGUCGCCCCGA